GCAGGGCUGUGUGCACAGUGUCCGUCUGUGUCUGGUAGAGCAGUUUUGCUGGCGUCCUGCCGGCGGCUGCUCCACUACCUAUUCCUGCGGCCCGAGAUAAUGAUGAGAUCAUAGUACUGGUCUAGUGACGUCUCCUGGACGCUCUCCCCGCUGGCCAGCCUCCAAACUCUCAGACACGC